CAAUCCACAUCCAGGGAAUAGUAGAAUAUUAGUGACUUCCUGAUGUGACUCUGGGCUGCAGCCUCACUCCCAGUAGCAGGCCAGUCAGAAGCAGCCUCAUUCUGGAAGCACAAGGAUGGGGCAUCUCCCUGGAGACAACGGACACCACAUAGGCUGCCAGUGGCUCUGUGACAACUCACCUAAAAAUUGGACGUGAUGUGAGUGUGG